AGAGUUUGAUCCUGGCUCAGGAUGAACGCUGGCGGACUGCCUAACACAUGCAAGUUGAGCGAUUUACUUCGGUAAAGAGCGGCGGACGGGUGAAUAACGCGUGGGUAACCUACCCUGUACACACGGAUAACAUACCGAAAGGUAUGCUAAUACGGGAUAAUAUAUUUGAGAGGCAUCUCUUMAAUAUCAAAGGUGAKCCAGUACAGGAUGGACCCGCGUCUGAUUAGCUAGUUGGUAAGGUAACGGCUUACCAAGGCGACGAUCAGUAGCCGACCUGAGAGGGUGAUCGGCCACAUUGGAACUGAGACACGGUCCAAACUCCUACGGGAGGCAGCAGUGGGGAAUAUUGCACAAUGGGCGAAAGCCUGAUGCAGCAACGCCGCGUGAGUGAUGAAGGCCUUCGGGUCGUAAAACUCUGUCCUCAAGGAAGAUAAUGACGGUACUUGAGAGGAAGCCCCGGCUAACUACGUGCCAGCAGCCGCGGU
rnacentral:rRNA from 1 species